UACGUAGGGUGCAAGCGUUAAUCGGAAUUACUGGGCGUAAAGCGUGCGCAGGCGGUUUUGUAAGCCAGAUGUGAAAUCCCCGGGCUUAACCUGGGAAUGGCAUUUGGGACUGCAAGGCUGGAGUGUGGCAGAGGAGACUGGAAUUCCUGGUGUAGCAGUGAAAUGCGUAGAUAUCAGGAGGAACACCGAUGGCGAAGGCAGGUCUCUGGGCUGACACUGACGCUCAUGCACGAAAGCGUGGGGAGCAAACAGGAU
rnacentral:rRNA from 1 species